UUUUUGCGUCAACUCGACCUGCUCAGAGCAACCUGUGAACCUCUCUGGCUUGUUCCUCUCACUUGGUGUUGAAAGACUGGAAAAGACAUUGAUUACCGGCAGAUAGAUCAUCCCUGACAUACCAGCCAGAGUAGCUCACUGUCUCAUUGGAGAGGCAGCCAUGUAUACAUCUGGCUAAAAUAAUUCCUGAAGACAACGACACGGGCUGAGAAGAGGAAACAGCACAGUGCUAUGGA